rnacentral:rRNA from 1 species
UACGUAGGGGGCUAGCGUUGUCCGGAAUCAUUGGGCGUAAAGCGCGUGUAGGCGGUCCGGUAAGUCCGCUGUGAAAGUCGGGGGCUCAACCCUCGGAUGCCGGUGGAUACUGUCGGGCUUGAGUACGGAAGAGGCGAGUGGAAUUCCUGGUGUAGCAGUGAAAUGCGCAGAUAUCAGGAGGAACACCAAUUGCGAAGGCAGCUCGCUGGGACGUUACUGACGCUGAGACGCGAAAGCGUGGGGAGCAAACAGG